ACUGAACGAAGGUCGUGUGUUGCUGUGUGUCUGCUGCMCUGCUGACUUUGCAUUGAUUUGCAUGGUGUUGGCGGASCGGCGGGUGCUGUUGCRUGCGCGGCUGACCUAUUUUUUUCAAACCCCAUACCUAAAUGACUGAUUAUACUGUGAGAACGAAAGUUCUUGCUUUUAACUAGAUAACAACUUUCAGCAGUGGAUGUCUAGGCUCGCACAUCGAUGAAGAACGCUGCGAACUGCGAUACGUAAUGCGAAUUGCAGAAUUCAGUGAGUCAUCGAAAUUUUGAACGCAUAUUGCACUUCCGGGUUAUGCCUGGAAGUAUGUCUGUAUCAGUGUCCGUAAAUCAAACUUGCGUUUCUUCCUUCCGUGUAGUCGGUGGAGGAGAGUUGCAGAUGUGAAGUGUCUCGCUGUGGUUGGUGUUYGUUGUUUGCAAUGAAUGCACAGCUUGCGAGUCCUUUUAAAUGGACACGACUUUCUCUUUUUUGUAUGUGCGCGGUGCUGUGCGUGAACGCGGUGGUUUUCGGAUCGCUCGCGGCUGUCGGCGACUUCGGUGAAUGCAUAAUGGAGUGGACCUCGAUUCGCGGUAUGUUGGGCUUCGGCUGGACAAUGUUGCUUAUUGUGUGUCUGUUCCGUGUUYGCCUUGAGGUGUACUGAUGGCUGUGGGAUURAACUGGUUACUGUUGUUAGUAGUGUGUGURGCACGUUGUCGUGGAUGCAUCUGUGUUUUUGCAUAYUUGKKGUGUGUGCAAUUGUACARAAKAGGAAKUCUCAUUUKGGRAAAGUUUUGUAUACUCCGGGU
rnacentral:rRNA from 1 species